CCACCAGACUCCUACGGGAGGCAGCAGUGGGGAAUAUUGCACAAUGGGCGCAAGCCUGAUGCAGCCAUGCCGCGUGUAUGAAGAAGGCCUUCGGGUUGUAAAGUACUUUCAGCGGGGAGGAAGGGGUUAAGGUUAAUAACCUUAGCCAUUGACGUUACCCGCAGAAGAAGCACCGGCUAACUCCGUGCCAGCAGCCGCGGUAAUACGGAGGGUGCAAGCGUUAAUCGGAAUUACUGGGCGUAAAGCGCACGCAGGCGGUCUGUCAAGUCGGAUGUGAAAUCCCCGGGCUCAACCUGGGAACUGCAUUCGAAACUGGCAGGCUGGAGUCUUGUAGAGGGGGGUAGAAUUCCAGGUGUAGCGGUGAAAUGCGUAGAGAUCUGGAGGAAUACCGGUGGCGAAGGCGGCCCCCUGGACAAAGACUGACGCUCAGGUGCGAAAGCGUGGGGAGCAAACAGGAUUAGAUACCCCGGUAAG
rnacentral:rRNA from 1 species